CAACCUCCCUAGAUUUAUCAAGCAAUGUUAGUUGGCACAAUUAAUUACAUAUGUGUUCCAACAACGUUUCUUUCCUCUUUCUAGUUUUAUAAACCGACUUCUUCGCUUUCUCAGUUAGUAACCCAUGAGGUCCAUCAAAGAUAAAAUUCUGAGUGCAAUUGACAUGAAUUUUCUCACAAUCUCUAUGCAAACCGAAGGUUUCUUUGAAGUGAAGUAAGGUGGAAGAAGAGUAGUUCUUGGUAUAUAAGGUCGAAACGGUAGACAAGCUACGGAAUAAAGUCGCUACAAGGCAUACAAGGUAUGUAAGGUCCUGACAGACAGCUAGGAGGACCUUCUCAGUAGGCUUGCACAGCUCAGCGGAUAGUCAGCAAGCUCUAUUCGUUCCGGACUUUCUCGCUUUGGGUAUGAAAUGAUGUACAUGCUAUAUAUAUAUAUAA